rnacentral:tRNA from 3 species
AAAUAUGAAGCAAUAUUAUGCAUUUAAUUUCGACUUAAAAGAAAGAGUUACUACUCCAUAUUUU